UUCUCUCUCACUCUUAAUCUCACUCACGUCUGCUGUCCGUCCAUGUCUGUCUCGCAUUCUCAGUUUCUCUCCACAGUCGAUCGAACGCAAAACUCUCGGAUCCUUCUUGCUGCUCUCAAACAAUGAAGAUGGUGCUGGCUGGUCGACACAAGCGGCGAGGACCACCGUGUGCAGGUGUCAGUCGGGACAUUUGCAGAUUUUGUAUUUGAAAAGAGCAGUGCUUUGGGAAGGUCAAUUCUAGAUUUGAACCGGUUUGUGAAGCAGGGGCUAGAUCAGAUGGUGAUUUUGAUAGAGAGGUGUGUAGAGGCCAUGAAGUUGCUUGUUGGGCUAAAGCAACGGCCGUCUUCUUCUGAUCCUGAUGGUGGAGUCAACCUGCAUAAAGGAAAUUGCUUAGGGUUCGCUACAUGAAGGAAAUUGCAACCUCCGAGUUCAAUCUACAUAGCUGUGGGAACCUCUCUUAGGCGUUUCAGUUUAUUACAGCUCCCUCAGGUGGUCUUUAGUGUUGCAUUCAUCAGUCUGAAUUAUUAAACAUUAGCUCGGUUUUUGGGCAUAACUAUACUGAUCCUAGUUUAGGUUUUUUUGUUUGCGUCGGUGGUUAACUUUUUUGCAGUUACUUUAUCAUUCCAACUGAUGUACCUAUUUUUUCUAAUAUUCAGUCCCUUAUUAAUAAUUGUACUAUCAUUCUAUA